rnacentral:rRNA from 1 species
CAGGCCGGUUUGUUAAGUCAGAUGUGAAAUCCCCGAGCUUAACUUGCUUUUUGCAUUUGAAACUGGCAAGCUAGAGUCUUGUAGAGGGGGGUAGAAUUCCAGGUGUAGCGGUGAAAUGCGUAGAGAUCUGGAGGAAUACCGGUGGCGAAGGCGGCCCCCUGGACAAAGACUGACGCUCAGGUGCGAAAGAUUGGGGAGCAAACAGGAUUAGAUACCCUGGUAGUCCACGCUGUAAACGAUGUCGACUUGGAGGUUGUGCCCUUGAG